rnacentral:rRNA from 1 species
AGAGUUUGAUCCUGGCUCAGGAUGAACGCUGGCGGCGUGCUUAACACAUGCAAGUCGAACGAAGCACUUUAUUUGAUUUCUUCGGAAUGAAGAUUUUGUGACUGAGUGGCGGACGGGUGAGUAACGCGUGGGUAACCUGCCUCAUACAGGGGGAUAACAGUUGGAAACGACUGCUAAUACCGCAUAAGCGCACGGUGUCGCAUGACACAGUGUGAAAAACUCCGGUGGUAUGAGAUGGACCCGCGUCUGAUUAGCUAGUUGGUGGGGUAACGGCCUACCAAGGCGACGAUCAGUAGCCGACCUGAGAGGGUGACCGGCCACAUUGGGACUGAGACACGGCCCAAACUCCUACGGGAGGCAGCAGUGGGGAAUAUUGCACAAUGGGGGAAACCCUGAUGCAGCGACGCCGCGUGAGUGAAGAAGUAUUUCGGUAUGUAAAGCUCUAUCAGCAGGGAAGAAAAUGACGGUACCUGACUAAGAAGCACCGGCUAAAUACGUGCCAGCAGCCGCGGUAAUACGUAUGGUGCAAGCGUUAUCCGGAUUUACUGGGUGUAAAGGGAGCGCAGGCGGUGCGGCAAGUCUGAUGUGAAAGCCCGGGGCUCAACCCCGGUACUGCAUUGGAAACUGUCGUACUAGAGUGUCGGAGGGGUAAGUGGAAUUCCUAGUGUAGCGGUGAAAUGCGUAGAUAUUAGGAGGAACACCAGUGGCGAAGGCGGCUUACUGGACGAUAACUGACGCUGAGGCUCGAAAGCGUGGGGAGCAAACAGGAUUAGAUACCCUGGUAGUCCACGCCGUAAACGAUGAUUACUAGGUGUGGGGGGACUGACCCCUUCCGUGCCGGAGUUAACACAAUAAGUAAUCCACCUGGGGAGUACGACCGCAAGGUUGAAACUCAAAGGAAUUGACGGGGGCCCGCACAAGCGGUGGAGCAUGUGGUUUAAUUCGAAGCAACGCGAAGAACCUUACCAAGUCUUGACAUCCCGAUGACAGAACAUGUAAUGUGUUUUCUCUUCGGAGCAUCGGUGACAGGUGGUGCAUGGUUGUCGUCAGCUCGUGUCGUGAGAUGUUGGGUUAA